GAUAAACGCUAGCGGCAGGCUUAACACAUGCAAGUCGAGGGGCAGCAUAGAUUGUAGCAAUACAAUUGGUGGCGACCGGCGCACGGGUGCGUAACGCGUAUGCAACCUACCCGUCACAGGGGGAUAAUCCGGAGAAAUCUGGUCUAAUACCCCAUAACAUAUGGAUCGGCAUCGGUUCAUGUUGAAAUUUUCGGAGGUGACGGAUGGGCAUGCGUAGCAUUAGCUUGUUGGUGAGGUAACGGCUCGCCAAGGCGACGAUGCUUAGGGGGACUGAGAGGGUUUCCCACCACACUGGUACUGAGACACGGACCAGACUCCUACGGGAGGCAGCAGUGAGGAAUAUUGGUCAAUGGGCGCAAGCUUGAACCAGCCAUGCCGCGUGCAGGAUGACGGCUCUAUGAGUUGUAAACUGCUUUUGUACGAGGGUAAAGUGGGUUACGUGUAACCUUUUGAAAGUACCGUACGAAUAAGGAUCGGCUAACUCCGUGCCAGCCGCCGCCGUAA
rnacentral:rRNA from 1 species